rnacentral:rRNA from 1 species
GUAGGGGGACCGUUCGGGCCGUCACACCAUCGGAUGAACCCAGAUGGGAUUAGCUAGUAGGUGGGGUAACGGCUCACCUAGGCGACGAUCCCUAGCUGGUCUGAGAGGAUGACCAGCCACACUGGAACUGAGACACGGUCCAGACUCCUACGGGAGGCAGCAGUGGGGAAUAUUGCACAAUGGGCGCAAGCCUGAUGCAGCCAUGCCGCGUGUAUGAAGAAGGCCUUCGGGUUGUAAAGUACUUUCAGCGGGGAGGAAGGGGAUGAGGUUAAUAGCCUCGUUCAUUGACGUUACCCGCAGAAGAAGCACCGGCUAACUCCGUGC